rnacentral:rRNA from 1 species
AUGCACGCUGGCGGCGUGCCUAAUACAUGCCAGUCGAGCGAACAGAUAAGGAGCUUGCUCCUUUGACGUUAGCGGCGGACGGGUGAGUAACACGUGGGUAACCUACCUAUAAGACUGGGAUAACUUCGGGAAACCGGAGCUAAUACCGGAUAACAUUUGGAACCGCAUGGUUCUAAAGUGAAAGAUGGUUUUGCUAUCACUUAUAGAUGGACCCGCGCCGUAUUAGCUAGUUGGUAAGGUAACGGCUUACCAAGGCAACGAUACGUAGCCGACCUGAGAGGGUGAUCGGCCACACUGGAACUGAGACACGGUCCAGACUCCUACGGGAGGCAGCAGUAGGGAAUCUUCCGCAAUGGGCGAAAGCCUGACGGAGCAACGCCGCGUGAGUGAUGAAGGGUUUCGGCUCGUAAAACUCUGUUAUUAGGGAAGAACAAAUGUGUAAGUAACUGUGCACGUCUUGACGGUACCUAAUCAGAAAGCCACGGCUAACUACGUG